AAAUUGAAGAGUUUGAUCAUGGCUCAGAUUGAACGCUGGCGGCAGGCCUAACACAUGCAAGUCGAGCGGUAGCACAGAGAGCUUGCUCUCGGGUGACGAGCGGCGGACGGGUGAGUAAUGUCUGGGAAACUGCCUGAUGGAGGGGGAUAACUACUGGAAACGGUAGCUAAUACCGCAUAAUGUCGCAAGACCAAAGUGGGGGACCUUCGGGCCUCAUGCCAUCAGAUGUGCCCAGAUGGGAUUAGCUAGUAGGUGGGGUAACGGCUCACCUAGGCGACGAUCCCUAGCUGGUCUGAGAGGAUGACCAGCCACACUGGAACUGAGACACGGUCCAGACUCCUACGGGAGGCAGCAGUGGGGAAUAUUGCACAAUGGGCGCAAGCCUGAUGCAGCCAUGCCGCGUGUGUGAAGAAGGCCUUCGGGUUGUAAAGCACUUUCAGCGGGGAGGAAGGCGGUGAGGUUAAUAACCUCAUCGAUUGACGUUACCCGCAGAAGAAGCACCGGCUAACUCCGUGCCAGCAGCCGCGGUAAUACGGAGGGUGCAAGCGUUAAUCGGAAUUACUGGGCGUAAAGCGCACGCAGGCGGUCUGUCAAGUCGGAUGUGAAAUCCCCGGGCUCAACCUGGGAACUGCAUUCGAAACUGGCAGGCUAGAGUCUUGUAGAGGGGGGUAGAAUUCCAGGUGUAGCGGUGAAAUGCGUAGAGAUCUGGAGGAAUACCGGUGGCGAAGGCGGCCCCCUGGACAAAGACUGACGCUCAGGUGCGAAAGCGUGGGGAGCAAACAGGAUUAGAUACCCUGGUAGUCCACGCCGUAAACGAUGUCGAUUUGGAGGUUGUGCCCUUGAGGCGUGGCUUCCGGAGCUAACGCGUUAAAUCGACCGCCUGGGGAGUACGGCCGCAAGGUUAAAACUCAAAUGAAUUGACGGGGGCCCGCACAAGCGGUGGAGCAUGUGGUUUAAUUCGAUGCAACGCGAAGAACCUUACCUGGUCUUGACAUCCACAGAACUU
rnacentral:rRNA from 1 species